rnacentral:tRNA from 1 species
GGGCUUAGAUUCUGGCGGUUACAUGGAUUCAGAUCAACAUCGAUAAAUAUCGAUUCUUGCGGACUCUUAAUCCGUAGGUCGAGUGUUCGAGUCACUCACGCCCCACCA